GAUGUGGUGGGGAGUCGCGCAGCUCCACGGGGGAAGCUGAGUCAGGGUCAUGGAUGACGCUGGCCCUGACGGUGCUAAUUAAACCGUAAGCGUUUCAUGGUCUCCAGGAUGCCGUGGGAAAAGGAGGAUAUGAAACAGGGAGUCCAAGCCGAGGAUUGUUGGGAAAUAGGUGGGCUGGCGAGUUCCUCCUGAGUUUAGAGGAAGGGGGCCCCGUGCGGGCAGGGGGAGCCCGGGAAGGCCCCUCUUGAGCCUGGAGCUCCGGUGGGUUCUGCCCAGCUCGCGGGGUGAGUGGGGCCCCAGGGCGAGAGCGCCCCUCAUCCGGGAAGGGCCCGCAGCCCUACGUGGCCUCACGCUGGGCUCACGCUCUGCUGCGCUCACCUGGGUGGUCACGAACACAUCCAGGUUCUGCAUUCCGGGCGGGAACCCGACCAAAGUCAAGGGCCCUGUUUUCUCAGCCCGUCGCACCAGCAGGUGCCUGAAGUCAGCGCAUCCCCGAUUCCGUCCCGUGGCCUAGUUCAGGCGGGCGGGCCAGGCUUCCCCGCCCUGACGUUGGUCUUCCUCCCCUUGUAACCCAGGAGCGCUGGCUCUUGGGGUGAAGCUCGCGGCCAGCGUGAACGUGCUAAGUCUGUCGAACCGUCACCUGCACGUUCUGGCGUCCGCCGAUGACGAUCCGAAUCCAUCGUUACUCUGAUCGUUGCCGGAAGUCGACGUUCUGGGUAAUUCAUUCCUUCGGUCCAAAGGGAGAGACGUUUCCCAAAGUAACCGGCUUGUAUUCCUUAAAAAUAUUGAUCUCAGGACAACCUGCGGGGCUGUUCCGGAUUAAAGGGGCCCGAAGAGAACCAGCAACUGGCUGCAGUGUGUGAUCCUGGACCAGGAUUCCUUUGUCCUUUCCUCUAAAGGACAUUGCUGGGACAACUGGUGACAUUUGAAGAAGGCCUGGAUAUUCUGUGAAAUUAGUACGUCCGUGUCAAGUUUCUGGUUUUGUCAUUGCGUGUGUGUGUACUUGUGUAAAAGAAUGCCUCCAGGCAGGACACACGGGAACAUUUCAGAAUAGAGGGGACAGUAGCUACAACUCCGUCUCAAGUGGCCCAGGAGAAAUGCUCUGCGUCUACAGCACAUAGUAUGGCAGGAAGCCUUCUGAAUCAGUGCUCUAUUUUGAGCACAAAGUCAAGAUUUUUGUGGCCGCAGCCAAAGACGUUCACGUGGAGAGCUGCUGAGCUGGCUUGUUGAUUCAGGCCCCGACGGUUCCUCAGGUCUUUCUGGAAAUAACAGGGUCAUUGACAUGUAACGCGGUUAUAAAACCUGUGACGAGGCGCCCGUCUAGUGACAGCAGGGCCGAGCCAGCCGAUACCUCCGCGACCGAGUCCCUGUAACGUGAGUGCCUCGCGCCAUCCCGUGUAACCCCCAGGACAAAUCUGCAAGAUAAGCUGUGUCAUCCUGAGUUUUCACAUGAGAAAAUAGAAGCUCAGAGACGAUGAAUAUCCUUUGCCCAAAGAUCCAUGGUCGUAUGCUCCAUUAAGUCAUCUGGAUGAUUUCUGGGGAGGCACGGGACUCCAACGUCAUGCACCCCACUUCUGCUGGCCGACACUUGGGGACCGCCGGGUCCUGACCUCAGCACACUGGAUGGUGGAGUGGGUGACUGUGUGCGUCCGUUUCCUCCAGCGAACACGGCAUCCGGGAGCGAGAGCGUUCACUUUGUCAAAGGUUCAGAAAUAACAGAAGUAAAACCAGUGAAUCACCGUGGUAGCAAUUAGUAAAAGUUUAUCAUGCACACACCAAAAAGGAAGUUUGCAAACCGGGAGCACUCAAACCGGAAGGCAGAUCAUCAGAGCCACAGAAAGAGGCUCGGUGGCAGAGGGCAUAAGGCUACUGAUGACCUAAGACAGAGGCAACACCGAAGAGGAAGAGGAGGAGGAGGAAGAAGAUUGUAGGGCUUGUGAGUCAUGCCAACUGAACACAAGUUGUAUUCAAAGGCGGACACGUUUGUGGUAUUACGCGUUUGCAGAAGGACAAAAGCAUAUCCAUAUAAUAUCUCUGUGUAAGCCACGUCCUCCACGGUCAUCACCUUGACGGCAUUCCCCCCAGACCGCCACAUCCUGAAACCACGAUGCGGGGGGUCACCUCCCUGCCUGCCCUGUCACGCUGCCUAGCUUGAGCACGGUGCUGUCCAUGGAACAUCCUGCAAUGACAAGGGCGUCCUAGCCACACACAUCCGGUACCUGUGGCCGCGAAUGAGCGGGCAAAGUACGCUCCCGGUGAAGAAACAAGAAUGGCUCCUGGAACGCUUUGGGGCUGAGUGCUUCGCAGGAGAUGACUCAUGGAAGCGUGCUUACUGGGCCCAUUUUCAGUCGACAAAACCGAGGCCCAGAGCAUCACGGUUGUGGCUGAACUCGAACUCAGUGGUGCGGUCUCGUUCCAGAGGGUGUGACCUGCCUUUAGAAGGAGAGUCCCGCUUGUCACUCAUUCAGCCUGGGGUCCAUCCUUGUGAGCCCUUCAUGGAGCGUGAUGGAGGUGGCUGGUCAGGGGGACCGCUGUCCGCAGCCCCACAGCUCCAGGAAAAGUGGCUGACGAGCCACACGGCUGACACACAGAGAAGGAGACAUUUUUAUUUAAAGAUACUUUCAGGGUCUUUCAAAGGCCUCUCACUGUUUGCUUCCAGGCUGGAGACUCUGAAGGGUGAGUCAUUCUAGCUGUUCUGGGGUUUUCACUUCAAGGUCAGAGGCUGCAGGAGUCUCUCGUUUAGAUAUGCAUCAUGAGUUUUAAGAGUCCAGGCUGGGGAAUUAAUUUCGGUCACCAAUGUCACCCCAGAAUAUUGUGCUUCCAGUGACUGCCACCCAGGCGUCCCUCCUGCACUCAGCGGAGCCAUGCGGGCGGCCGGGCUCCACCUGCCAAGGGGGAAUGAGAAAGAGAGCAAGAAGCUGACUCCUUACAAAUGAGCGAAGCAGGUGGGGGGCAGGGGGCAGAAAGAAGAGAGGAACGAACCAAGAAGCAGACUCUUCACUGUAGAGAAAAAACUGAGGUGGGGGGGUGGGAGGGGGAAAUGCAUGAUGGGGAUUAAGGAGAGCACGUGAGAUGAGCACAGGGCCACAUAUGAAAGUGUUCCAUCAGGGGCGCCUGGGUGGCUCAGUCCGUUGAGUGUCUGACCUCGGCUCAGCUCAUGAUCUCUAGGUCCGUGAGUUCGAGCCCCACAUGGAGCUCUGUGCUGACAGCUCAGAGCCUGGAGCCCGCUUCCGAUUCUGUGUCUCGCUCUCUCUCCGCCCCUCCCCUGUUGACGCUCUGUCUCUUAAUAACAAAUAAAUGUUAAAAAAAAAAAAGAAAGAAAGUGUUCCAUCACUGUCAGUACACCGGAAACUAAUAUUACAAUGAAGGUUACCUGUACUGGCGUUGCAAUGAGAUAAAAAUAAAUAAAACGUGAAUAAAAAUGCAAAAAUAAUAAACAGACAAAAAAGAAGCAAACUCCUCCUGUCUUCACUGAAACAACUGUGUUCACCGUGCCCCGUCCCUGCUGCUUCCUGCACCUGCCGUGUCCACCCGUGAUGGAGGAACGUGGGCCCUCCCCCCCAG